rnacentral:rRNA from 1 species
UUAGUUAUUGUAGUAAUACAAGGCAGACGGCUCAGUAACACGUAGUCCACUUAACUUAUGGACGGGGAUAACCUCGGGAAACUGAGAAUAAUACCCGAUAGGUCAUGAUGCCUGGAAUGGUUUAUGACUCAAAUAAUUUAUUGCCGUAGGAUGGGACUGCGAGCUAUCAGCUUGUUGGUGAGGUAAUGGCCCACCAAGGCUAUUACAGCUACGGGCUCUGAGAGGAGUAGCCCGGAGAUGGGUACUGAGACAAGGACCCAGGCCCUAUGGGGCGCAGCAGGCGAGAAAACUUUGCAAUGCGUGAAAGCUCGACAAGGUUAAUCUGAGUGGUUCCUGCUAAAGGAACCUUUUGUUAGUCGUAGAACCACUGAUGAAUAAGGGGUGGGCAAGUUCUGGUGUCAGCCGCCGCGGUAAAACCAGCACCUCAAGUGGUCAGGAUGAUUAUUGGGCCUAAAGCAUCCGUAGCCUGUUCUGUAAGUUUUCGGUUAAAUCCAUAAGCUCAACUUAUGGGCUGCCGAAAAUACUGCAGAACUAGGGAGUGGGAGAGGUAGACGGUACUCGGUAGGAAGGGGUAAAAUCCUUUGAUCUAUUGAUGACCACCUGUGGCGAAGGCGGUCUACCAGAACACGUUCGACGGUGAGGGAUGAAAGCUGGGGGAGCAAACCGGAUUAGAUACCCGGGUAGUCCCAGCUGUAACGAUGCAAACUCGAUGAUGCGUUGGCUUGUUGCUAGCGCAGUGUCGCAAGGAAGCCGUUAAGUUUGCCGCCUGGGAAGUACGUACGCAAGUAUGAAACUCAAAGGAAUUGACGG